GAUGAACGCUGGCGGCGUGCCUAAUACAUGCAAGUCGAGCGAACAGACGAGGAGCUUGCUCCUCUGACGUUAGCGGCGGACGGGUGAGUAACACGUGGAUAACCUACCUAUAAGACUGGGAUAACUUCGGGAAACCGGAGCUAAUACCGGAUAAUAUAUUGAACCGCAUGGUGCAAUAGUGAAAGACGGUUUUGCUGUCACUUAUAGAUGGAUCCGCGCCGCAUUAGCUAGUUGGUAAGGUAACGGCUUACCAAGGCGACGAUGCGUAGCCGACCUGAGAGGGUGAUCAGCCACACUGGAACUGAGACACGGUCCAGACUCCUACGGGAGGCAGCAGUAGGGAAUCUUCCGCAAUGGGCGAAAGCUUGACGGAGCAACGCCGCGUGAGUGAUGAAGGUCUUCGGAUCGUAAAACUCUGUUAUUAGGGAAGAACAAAUGUGUAAGUAACUAUGCACGUCUUGACGGUACCUAAUCAGAAAGCCACGGCUAACUACGUG
rnacentral:rRNA from 1 species